UUCGGGGUCGGGUGAUCAGAACCAGCUCACGUGUGCGAGCCGGGCCGUGAGCGGGCCGGAGCCCGUGCAGGGCACACCAGCAGGCAAACAGGCGCUGCUGUUCCUGUUUUCCAGCCGCAGGGGAAGACCGGGGCUAUUUUUAGCUGCGACAGUCACUGAGGCCCAGCUGUGCUUUGGGCAGUCCUGGGAGCUGCAAAUAUAUCCGGCGAACAAGACUGAGUCUCACUUGACUGACAUCUGUCAUUGAAGAGGCUGUUCUAACUGGGGACAACAGGAAGCCAACCAACCACGGCCACCAGCACCACCCCCUGGAGAACCUCAAGCCUCGAGGGAUAAAUACACAAUGGAAAUAAAGCAAGGCAAGAACCAUCGAGCGUGCCAGGGGAGCGACUUUAAAGGGAUGAUAUUGAAGGACCUCUCUGAGGAUGUGUGGUGAACAGCAAGAAGGGCCUGCCAUGCACAAAAAUCUAGGAAAAGAACAUUCUAGGAGAAGAGACCUGCCAGCGGAGAGGCCCUAAGACAAGACUGAGCUUAGCUGGAGGAAUGGCGAGAGGCCCGGGUGGCAGGGAUGAGCAGGAUCAUUGGCGGUUGUUAGCAGCAGAGCAUCCUCAGUGCUUAUCUACCUGAGCAGUCACUCUGGCCGCUGCGUGGAGGGUGAUCAGAGCCAGGGAGCAGGCAGCAGCGGAAACAGGGACGAGGACCCGCAGCCCCGCCACGCUGUCCGCAAAUCGCAGUCUGCACUUCCUCAGGACAAGCGGGAGAGGUGGGAGCUAUCACUCCAGCUUCCAGUAAGGAUCCGUUUCAUAUCCUUUCACAAAGCCAAGCACAGUUCGGGGCAUGUAGCUGUCCCUUUAAUAACGUUUGAUGUUUGAUUAAUAAGUUAAACAACCCAUUGAGUCCAUCUACUCAAAGAAUCAGACAAACCAAUUAAAAGGCCUGACCACAAAGCCCCGACACAGCAGCUGCUUGCCGGCCCUGGUCAGUUGCUUGACCGAGGAGCCUUGUCAAGCUCAAUCAACAGGGUGAAGCCAGGAGUGCACGAUGACACGGAGUUUGAGUCUGCCAUUGUUCUCUCUCGCCACUGCUGGGCUGGGGCUCUGUGCCUCCAGGAAUCUGGAGGAACACAAACACAUUCUUUUCCAAACCUGGCAUUUCCAGUCUUCGGUCAUUUGUCAUCAUCUAGCCCGACCAGGAGCAGCCCCGAGUCUGAGUGUGGCUCAGCAGGGCCCACCAGGCAGAGCGCCGCUCACGCUUUAUCUGCUUCCUCUCAGAGUCACUGUUCAACACGGCAUCUUUGGGCUUGCCUCGCAAACCGGUCCUGAGUCACUGCAGAGGCUGGGGAAAGGCAGGCAUACUUCCUGUCCUAGCCGUGCAGCUCCGGGGCCAGACCGAGGCAUAGACGCCAAAACUGGCUCACUGCCAUCCUCAGAUAAAAGGCACAGGGGACUAGAGCGCCUGCCCUGCGCAGCCUCUCCUGGGGGGAAGCCCCACCCAGCCCCGUUGAGAGAGUAUAGGAAGAUUCCUUGACUGACUCUCUGGGAGUGAACCCCUGACCCAAAAGCGUUUCCUACAUAGAGUGGCCUUUAACUUGCAGUCUGGCUUGAAAAGGUGAGUGAAGUCAGUGAAAUCACUCUCCUAGGAUUUGGAAUCCCAAAGCAGAGACAUGGUGGUCAAGAGUGGCCCCUGGGCUGAGAGGUGAGGCAGAAAAGGCAGAGCUAGUGCAGGAGGCCACAUGCUGAGGAUGCAGAGGACGCUGGGGCGGGGAGAGAGAAGAGCAGAGACAGAGCGAGAGAUAAAGAGGGAGGGAGAAAGAAGCAAAGUCUAGAACUGUGCUGUACAAUAUGGUGGCCCUGUGUGGCUAUUUAAUUUUAUUUAAAUAACAAUUUUAAUUAAUUUAAAUUUAAAUUAUUUAAAUAACAUUAGAGGUUUAAAAUUCAGCUCCUCAGCUGCACUACACAGAUACGGAACAUUUCCGUCAUCUCAGAUGGUUCUGUGGGGCCGCGCUGGUCUAGAAGACUCCCGGGGUGGAGCAUAAGGAGUCUUGGUUCCAGGUUUUCAGUUCCUGAUUCCAGUGCACGGAAGCUCAGCACACCCACUGUCCCCUACCAGGGGAGAUAAUUUAUGUUCUUAUAAUUCACAUCUACCGCGCUAACUCUCCCCCCACUAUCUUUUUCUUGACUUAGUUUGAGUAGAUUUUAGUUCUUAUUUUAGCUUUUUAUAAUCAAGAAAAUCUUAACCAAGAACACGUAUUGACUGACUGGUAUUAAUAAUAAAAAUAAUAACCACAACAAUUUACUGAGUGCUUAUGAGCCUGAACACCAGGCCUUGACGUUUCACAUGCAUGUUUUUGUUUAAUCCUCUCAGGAACUUUAUAAUAGAGGUCUUUUAUUGCCAUUCAAGAGCUGUAGCAACCAAGGCACAGAGAUGUUGAGCAAGUUGUCCGAGGUCACAGAGAGGCCGGGUGGCAAAGCAGGAAUGGAAUUGAUCCUCCAUCUUCAAGAGUUGAUGCGUAGGAGCUUGGCCUGAAUUUUAACCACGGAAGCAUGAAAAGUGGCGGAUACCCCACUUUGGGACAUGGUAAGCAGGUACUAGAAGUCUGAAACUUCUUGGGGAUCUCUGAAUUCUGGGACACCUUCCUAGGGCAGCUGGUCUCAUUCCAGUCAUCUCUCUGCCUAGUGCUCUUUUUCCCACUACAGAACAGGAAGUUUGAGAAGUGACAGGCCACAGGCACAGGCCGGCCCUGCUGAGAAAUCGCCAUCAGGAGCAAACCACAUGUCCUGUGAACUCGGGGACCUGCCAGCAAAAUUCCCUGAUGCUGGAACUUCGGGCAGAGAGCGCCGGUCUUGCGCUGAUUGGCGUCAGGAGCCAAGUGUGGUGGGGGAGGGGAGUCAGCACAUAUUUCUCCGCUGAACUCCGUUUCCCAUUUGGUUUGGCAGCUUGUUUUUCAUGAAAUGAGGCCAAUCCACGAAUUCCGUGUCAACAUCGCUCCUUUUACUGGAACCGCAAAGGCAGCCCCCCGGGACUGGCUCCAUCUCUGGGCAGACAUCAAAAACAACCCCUUUUCGCUUUGAAAGCAUAGCAGGCGUCUCAGAGCCCCCCACUUCCUUACCUGUGUUUCCCUCUGAGGAAGAAAGCAAGGACCAGGGCCCGUGGCUGCAGCGCCCCGGGCUCACUGUUGGCACAGCAGCCCUGGGCUGGCCACGCUGCGGGCUCUCCUGGCCCUGCUGCCCGUCUGCCCUUUCUUGUGCGUCCAAGGCCCGGAGGCUCCUUCCUGCCUGCUUGUCUUGCUUCCAGGACUAACUUGAUGAGUAGGCACGGCCUCCCCAGCCCCUCAGCUGUCACCCUGCCACAGCUGCCCUCCUGCUGCGACCUCAGGGGGUUGCAGAAGGUGCUGUGGCAUCCAAAAUCCACUCCCCAUCAGGGACUAGAGCCGAACUUCCGAGGCCUCCAGGGCUCCUCUGCUCUGGGGAGGGGGCCUCCUCUUAGCUGCUCCAACACCUGCUGCCCAGCGGGGUGGGGCCGGUGUGCAGGUAGGAGCAAGCAGGCACAUUUGGGAAGGAGAAUAAUAGUGGGUAGUGAGUAGCGGACAGUCAGAAGUGGCUUUAUUGGCAACUGGUACGUACUGAUGGGCACAUCAGCAGCAAGGUUCGCUGCAUACAAGGUUGUCUGCAUGAGAGAGGAGGUGGGAGAAAGGCUGUCCUGGGGCAUGGGGUGACCUGGCUCCAGGUCACUUUUCUCUAGGAAGGUCCUGCUCUGUGUCCUCUCGACACCCUGUGCUUCUCUUUUGGCUGCAGCCCCUGUCACGGCCUCUGCACGCUCCUGUCUUCCCAGCUGCUGUCUUCCUCCCCAUCUCCUCCCAGGACCCAGCACCCUUGCGCAUAUGGUGAGGUCAGCGACCCCCUCCACUGUGUCAAGUGAGUGAAUGACUACUGGCUGCUCCUUGCAGUGCUGGGGAGACGAUGCAAGGGGCAGUGGGGUUGUCACGGCUCUAACCCAAGGGGAGGUCCUGAGGCACCAACAGCGUAGCAGUUUUGCAGUGUGCCCGGUGUGUGAGUCUGGGCUCCAUGACUUACUAGCCGUGUGCUGGACAAGCUGUUUAUCUUUCUGUGCCUCAGUUUCUUCAUGUAUAAAAUAGAGAUAAUAAUACCUACCUA